GGACCCGCUGCCCCGCGGGCGCGGAGAUCACGGGGCCGGAACUACCCGAGCGUUCGGGGUGGGAGCAGCUGGCUGGGAUCCGCUUCCCUCCGUCCUGGUCCUUGCUCCGAGGAUGGGGGCAGCCGUGGGAUCCACUUCCCUCGAUCCCGGGAUGCGCCGUCCUCCCCGAGUGCAUGCAUGGUCACGAAGAGGAGGAGGAAUAUGUGGAGGAGGAGAGUAAAAUGAAGUAUUUAAACGUUGAUCCCCAAAACUUGAGGUCUUUGGAAAACAUGGCCAGUGAUCUGCUUCACCCAGGGGAGUGCAAAGCCCGAUGGUACUGACUUUCCAGCUAUGGGGAUGAAGAAGUUACUGUGAAUUUUAAUUACAUCAUCCAGUGCUUAACCUAAUAGCAAGGUAGUUCCUGACACUCCAAAGUGAUCAAAAGAAGACAGAAGUUGCAUUGUUUGUAAGUGCAGACUUUUCAUCUGGUGUGUUUUGCACGUUUAACUGCUUUACUUAAAGCAGAUCUUGGCUGUGUAGCACGUUCAAACAGCCAGAGGGACACAGCUCUCUUCGAGUCAUCGUGCAGGCUCUCUACGAGGCUGAUAAGGAGUUCAGCCAACGGUUUAUCCAAAAUGAACAUCCUUCUGGAUCUGGGGAGAAAACCUCGAAUAGAAAAGUGUGAGAGUGGGGAGUUACACUUUAUGCUCUCACAGCAGUCUCCAAUUACUUUGAAUAUCAAGGAUUCUGUGCAGUGGUCAGAAAAUUAUCUCCAAGUGUUUAUAUUUACAGAUAACAGAGUUUGAGCAGUGGUCAGUUGCUGAAAAUUGUCUUCAGGAACUCCAGAGAAAUGAGAGUGGUCUAAUCAGAGACAUCAGCAUUCCAGAGGGGGGGGCUGCCUGUCACAGUAGUUCUGGACACCUCCCCAUGCCAGGUCUGAGGGCCACUGCAAACCUUCAUUUGGCCGCAGUGAGAACUUCUGAGUUGUCAACCACAAAAGAAACUGCUUCACUUCCUCUUCUUUCUCUCGCACAGCUGGGGUUUGCUUGGCUUAUCUUGGCCUUUGAUUAUGGGAAAUGAGGCACAGAAUUCCAGAACACACCACUGGCCCACUGCAGGAGCGUCUGUAGUUACCACUGGCCAGCAGGGUGUUUCAGAUCUACAGGCCCUGAAUACUUACAGAAUAGAAAAUUGUAUCUUUGAAAG